GGGUUGUGAGGUUAAGCGACUAAGCGUACACGGUGGAUGCCCUGGCAGUCAGAGGCGAUGAAGGACGUGCUAAUCUGCGAUAAGCGUCGGUAAGGUGAUAUGAACCGUUAUAACCGGCGAUUUCCGAAUGGGGAAACCCAGUGUGAUUCGUCACACUAUCAUUAACUGAAUCCAUAGGUUAAUGAGGCGAACCGGGGGAACUGAAACAUCUAAGUACCCCGAGGAAAAGAAAUCAACCGAGAUUCCCCCAGUAGCGGCGAGCGAACGGGGAGCAGCCCAGAGCCUGAAUCAGUGUGUGUGUUAGUGGAAGCGUCUGGAAAGGCGCGCGAUACAGGGUGACAGCCCCGUACACAAAAAUGCACAUGCUGUGAGCUCGAUGAGUAGGGCGGGACACGUGGUAUCCUGUCUGAAUAUGGGGGGACCAUCCUCCAAGGCUAAAUACUCCUGACUGACCGAUAGUGAACCAGUACCGUGAGGGAAAGGCGAAAAGAACCCCGGCGAGGGGAGUGAAAAAGAACCUGAAACCGUGUACGUACAAGCAGUGGGAGCACGCUUAGGCGUGUGACUGCGUACCUUUUGUAUAAUGGGUCAGCGACUUAUAUUCUGUAGCAAGGUUAACCGAAUAGGGGAGCCGAAGGGAAACCGAGUCUUAACUGGGCGUUAAGUUGCAGGGUAUAGACCCGAAACCCGGUGAUCUAGCCAUGGGCAGGUUGAAGGUUGGGUAACACUAACUGGAGGACCGAACCGACUAAUGUUGAAAAAUUAGCGGAUGACUUGUGGCUGGGGGUGAAAGGCCAAUCAAACCGGGAGAUAGCUGGUUCUCCCCGAAAGCUAUUUAGGUAGCGCCUCGUGAACUCAUCUCCGGGGGUAGAGCACUGUUUCGGCAAGGGGGUCAUCCCGACUUACCAACCCGAUGCAAACUGCGAAUACCGGAGAAUGUUAUCACGGGAGACACACGGCGGGUGCUAACGUCCGUCGUGAAGAGGGAAACAACCCAGACCGCCAGCUAAGGUCCCAAAGUCAUGGUUAAGUGGGAAACGAUGUGGGAAGGCCCAGACAGCCAGGAUGUUGGCUUAGAAGCAGCCAUCAUUUAAAGAAAGCGUAAUAGCUCACUGGUCGAGUCGGCCUGCGCGGAAGAUGUAACGGGGCUAAACCAUGCACCGAAGCUGCGGCAGCGACGCUUAUGCGUUGUUGGGUAGGGGAGCGUUCUGUAAGCCUGUGAAGGUGUACUGUGAGGUAUGCUGGAGGUAUCAGAAGUGCGAAUGCUGACAUAAGUAACGAUAAAGCGGGUGAAAAGCCCGCUCGCCGGAAGACCAAGGGUUCCUGUCCAACGUUAAUCGGGGCAGGGUGAGUCGACCCCUAAGGCGAGGCCGAAAGGCGUAGUCGAUGGGAAACAGGUUAAUAUUCCUGUACUUGGUGUUACUGCGAAGGGGGGACGGAGAAGGCUAUGUUGGCCGGGCGACGGUUGUCCCGGUUUAAGCGUGUAGGCUGGUUUUCCAGGCAAAUCCGGAAAAUCAAGGCUGAGGCGUGAUGACGAGGCACUACGGUGCUGAAGCAACAAAUGCCCUGCUUCCAGGAAAAGCCUCUAAGCAUCAGGUAACAUCAAAUCGUACCCCAAACCGACACAGGUGGUCAGGUAGAGAAUACCAAGGCGCUUGAGAGAACUCGGGUGAAGGAACUAGGCAAAAUGGUGCCGUAACUUCGGGAGAAGGCACGCUGAUAUGUAGGUGAAGCGACUUGCUCGUGGAGCUGAAAUCAGUCGAAGAUACCAGCUGGCUGCAACUGUUUAUUAAAAACACAGCACUGUGCAAACACGAAAGUGGACGUAUACGGUGUGACGCCUGCCCGGUGCCGGAAGGUUAAUUGAUGGGGUCAGCGCAAGCGAAGCUCUUGAUCGAAGCCCCGGUAAACGGCGGCCGUAACUAUAACGGUCCUAAGGUAGCGAAAUUCCUUGUCGGGUAAGUUCCGACCUGCACGAAUGGCGUAAUGAUGGCCAGGCUGUCUCCACCCGAGACUCAGUGAAAUUGAACUCGCUGUGAAGAUGCAGUGUACCCGCGGCAAGACGGAAAGACCCCGUGAACCUUUACUAUAGCUUGACACUGAACAUUGAGCCUUGAUGUGUAGGAUAGGUGGGAGGCUUUGAAGUGUGGACGCCAGUCUGCAUGGAGCCGACCUUGAAAUACCACCCUUUAAUGUUUGAUGUUCUAACGUUGACCCGUAAUCCGGGUUGCGGACAGUGUCUGGUGGGUAGUUUGACUGGGGCGGUCUCCUCCUAAAGAGUAACGGAGGAGCACGAAGGUUGGCUAAUCCUGGUCGGACAUCAGGAGGUUAGUGCAAUGGCAUAAGCCAGCUUGACUGCGAGCGUGACGGCGCGAGCAGGUGCGAAAGCAGGUCAUAGUGAUCCGGUGGUUCUGAAUGGAAGGGCCAUCGCUCAACGGAUAAAAGGUACUCCGGGGAUAACAGGCUGAUACCGCCCAAGAGUUCAUAUCGACGGCGGUGUUUGGCACCUCGAUGUCGGCUCAUCACAUCCUGGGGCUGAAGUAGGUCCCAAGGGUAUGGCUGUUCGCCAUUUAAAGUGGUACGCGAGCUGGGUUUAGAACGUCGUGAGACAGUUCGGUCCCUAUCUGCCGUGGGCGCUGGAGAACUGAGGGGGGCUGCUCCUAGUACGAGAGGACCGGAGUGGACGCAUCACUGGUGUUCGGGUUGUCAUGCCAAUGGCACUGCCCGGUAGCUAAAUGCGGAAGAGAUAAGUGCUGAAAGCAUCUAAGCACGAAACUUGCCCCGAGAUGAGUUCUCCCUGACCCUUUAAGGGUCCUGAAGGAACGUUGAAGACGACGACGUUGAUAGGCCGGGUGUGUAAGCGCAGCGAUGCGUUGAGCUAACCGGUACUAAUGAACCGUGAGGCUUAACCUUACAACGCCGAAG
rnacentral:rRNA from 1 species